GCAAGGACAUUGUAAUUGCAAGAUCCUUU
rnacentral:piRNA from 1 species